rnacentral:sRNA from 1 species
GCAGUUCCGGCGAGGGGGGAGCCUCAG